UACUACUAAUAUGAUUCAUGGACCGUGU
rnacentral:piRNA from 1 species